rnacentral:lncRNA from 1 species
AUGUUGGAAUAUUUUUUAGGGGGUUCUCUCUCUUCUCUCUCUAAAAAUCUUUCAGAGAGAGAACUGUUUGUGGAUCAAGUCGCCGGUUCUUUUAACGGCAGUAUCAUUCCCAGGUUCGGGAUCUGUUUCCGGUAUAAGUGGUCUUGUUGACACUUUAUACUCGGAUUUUGUCUCCGGCGAAGCUCCAUCUCGUUGGAGUUGCGGCCGGCUUUUGACUCUGGCGACGUCGACUUGCUUUCCGGUGGCGUCGGCCGGCUUCUUCUCCGGUUCUUUUCGGAGUUUGUUCUUUUGUUUAGAUCCUCUCCUCUCUCUCCUCUUGUUAAAGUUUCAGCCCUCUUUUGAUUUUGGAUCCAAUUGCUUCAUCCUUUCCUUGUUAAGGCUUAUCCAUCUUCAUGCUUCUUCUUAUCUUUAAAGAUGGCUUGUUUUAGAUGCAGGAUAAUUGGAUCUUUGAGAUCGAAUGGUUGCGGUUGAUUUUUAUUUCGUAGGUGAGGAUUCAAGUUACGGUGUAGACGGUUAGUCUACUUGCUCUGAUUCGAAAUAGUGUUGUUGACGACGGUUCUUAUUGUUGCUCCUGUUCCGGUAAGCUCCGGUGGACGGCGAUUUGUUUUCCGGUCACGACUCUCAAGUCGGUGUAGUUUGGUGACGUCUCAUCUCCUUCCGCCAUAUGUCCUGCUGUUGCUCAGAGUCUGACGCGUGGUUGUGUUUUGCUGGAGUUAGUCACCGCUCAUCUUUGGGCUUUUAUGUUUGGGCCAAUAGUUUGGACCGUUUAUGGCGUUCUCGUGUUGCUGUCCUGCUUGUUGGGCCAUUCUCUUUAUGUUUAUGUUUUAACCAUUUUCGUUUGGGCCUUGUUGUAAAAUUUGUUCUUGUUCAAUAAAUUUCCGGUUGACAAAAAAAAAAUAAGGGGAUGUUGGAAAGCGGAUCAAAUUUACUUUCCUGCAAACUAGAAAUUCUUUUAGUAAAAAAUACGAUUCACAUAGUCUGCA